UGGUGAAUUUUUAUUUUUACAUAAAAACGAUUUUUCACCCCACGUUUUGGAAUCCCUUCAAUUUCUGAUGCAAGCGUAAUGACGGAGACAGCUAGAAGAAUAAGCUUAAAACCAAAGCCUAACGGACAUUCAUGGCGUUGAUCCAUCGCUAGAGCGGGUCGAUAGAAACGCUCCAUGAUAGUUAUAUUAGAUGUGAAAGUCAUAGUUGUCGUAAGUAGCAUGCCAUAUUCUCUAAAAGGCCACCAUGCACAGAUCCUAAACUUUUUUUUUAACGAAAAGAAAUGCUUAGACUAUGUCCAGAUGUUUUGCUAUACGAAUCAUGUGUAAUUGCUGUUUACAUAGUACGAUUUUUUUUUGUGUGAUAUUGUCUUGUUCGCAAA